UGGGCAACCUGCCCCUAGCACUGGGAUAACCCCGGGAAACCGGGGCUAAUACCGGAUGUGACCUCGGAGGGCAUCUUCUGAGGUGGAAAUGUUCCGGCGGCUAGGGAUGAGCCCGCGGCCUAUCAGCUUGUUGGUGAGGUAACGGCCCACCAAGGCGACGAUGGGUAGCCGGCCUGAGAGGGCGACCGGCCACACUGGGACUGAGACACGGCCCAGACUCCUACGGGAGGCA
rnacentral:rRNA from 1 species